AGAAAUACGUCGCUCCGCUGGCCGCCGCGCAUACUUGAUUACUUGAUUAUUUGAUGUUGUUUAGAGGCCAAGGCGAAAAGAAAAGAAGGAAAGAUGAAAUGAGAGACAGACAUGCAGAAGGAAAGGUAAAGAAGAACAAUUGAGAGAAGGAAAAGACAGAGAAGGAAAAAGAAUAAGUCCUCGCAGAAAUACGUCGCUUCGCUGGCCACCGCGCGCAUGAAAAUUAAGAAGAUGAAAUGAGAGACAGACAUGCAGAAGGAAAGGUAAAGAAGAACAAUUGAGAGAAAGAAAAGACAGAGAAGGAAAAAGAAUAAGUCCUCGCAGAAAUAAGUCGCCCCGCUGGCCACCGCGCGCAUGAAAAUUAAGAAGAAAAGAUGAAAUGAGAGACAGACAUGCAGAAGGAAAGGUAAAGAAGAACAAUUGAGAGAAAGAAGCGACAUAUGCGAGAAGAAAAAGAAUAAGAAAAGGAGAAUAAGUGAGAGAGAGAUGAGAAGGGGGAAGAGGAGGAGAGAGGAAAUUAGAUAUAGAUCAGGAUUAGUUAAGAAUAAACAAUGACAGAGAGAGCAAUGUGCCAACUAGGGACUACACAGCAGGAAAACAUUAAUUUGCCUAGUUUUGUUCUAAUUUGUUCACUUGUGAUCUUUGUGAUGGUUGACAUUGCCCGCAAGACAACACACCAUGACCAACAGACCAAACAAGAAAGAACUGAGUGAACAGCAACGUGGGGUAAUUCUCUCCAAAAUCUGCCCUGUUCGUUUGUUAUAAAGCCUUCUCUCAUUCCAAAAUCUUG